ensembl:lncRNA
CACAGCACGCUUACUGAGCAGGGUCAUCUAUGAUGCUUACACACAGCACGCUUACUGAGCAGGGUCAUGCAUGAUGCAGACAUAAUGUCUCCAUGAUAUUGAACCAUCAGCACCACGUUUACAUGUGAUGAUAAUUUUCCUGCAAAGAGAACAGCAACCUGAGAGGUCAUUUAUUGCCAUCAUUAUUGUUAUUAUCCAAAGUCAUUUUAAGCAGUUCAGUAAAUAUUCAAGACGUAUGGAAUGUGUACAGGAAGCAAAAGUUCUCUCACGUAAAAGCUUGAAGUGAAAAUGAAAGUAGUAGUGCUCAGGGCUGCAUCAUUGACCUUGCUGUGACCGUAGUUCUCAGGCUGACUCCCCUUGAGGUCACUUCCACUGUGACUUCCUGCUCCACUCCAGCCUCCAUGCGUCUGCUCUCUCCAGUCUCACCCUCUGCUGUAGCGUGGGAGGCGCUGGAGGGGUCAGCCUUCCUGUGCUGUGGUCCCUGUCUGAGCCAGGCUACAAGGGCAAAUCUAAAGCGUGGGUCUUGGUUUGGAGAGCUGAAAGCCUUACAUAACCAUUGUGAAAGUAUGACAUUAACGCCUUUAGCUCUUCUUGGCUCUGGCAAGACUGAACUCCACACAUUGACAGUCUUUGUUUUUUUUUGUUUUUUGUUAAAGAUGUCAUGAUUAACACUUUUAUGUCAUACCUCAAGCGACUGUCCUUUGAGCACUUCAUUAGCUACCCUCUCACUAUGUGCAGUGCAGAUCUGCAAAGAUCUGGAUGGUAGGGUUAUCCUUCUCUUUGAUUAGCUAAAACAGUUGCUGUAUUACUGUAUUAACUAAUUACGCAUCAUGUACAUUUACUUUUCACAACUUCUUCCUAAUAUGGGAACAGGGAGAGUGUGAGUGUUUGCCACAGUGCUAGCCAUAGUGAUAGUAAUGUACACUACCAAAGAAGACCAAAGACUCAAAAGACCAUUCAUGUAAAUAAUUACCAAAACAGGUCCAAGAAUUGAACCCUGUGGUACCAGAAAUAGUCCUUCUAGACCUGCAUCCAUUAACAGAGAUAAUGCUCUCUGCUCCCUAAAGACCUACACAACAGCCAGAGUGAAUAUGCAGUGCAGCAGGAGCCACGGUCAUCCUUAAUAUCCUUGCGGAAAUAUUUUCAAUUCGUUUAGAAUUAAGUUGAUCUACAGAGAAGCUAUAUGAACAAGUAAAAAUGUUUACAUUUCAGUGUAACAAUGUGAACAAAGGUUUUCAAUUAUCCCUGGUCUCCCAAUUAUAAGUUUCCUUACAGUUAUUUCACCUCCAGCGAACAACCUAGGGUUCAGCUGACAACAAAACAAGUUGCUAAACAUUUUUCAAUACUGUGGAGGCAGAUGAUGUAAUAACACAUGCAACAGGCAGAUGAUGUAAUAACACAUGCAACAGGCAGAUUGUACAAUGCAAGCUUCCAAGGUUGAAUGUGUCUUCUGUAAUGAAUAUGAAUUAUAAGAAUACUGACAAUAAAACAAAAUGUUGCAAAAACAAAA